rnacentral:rRNA from 1 species
UACGAAGGGGGCUAGCGUUGUUCGGAAUUACUGGGCGUAAAGCGCGCGCAGGCGGUCUUCCAAGUCAGUGGUGAAAGCCCGGAGCUCAACUCCGGAACUGCCAUUGAAACUGUUAGACUUGAGGAUGAGAGAGGUGAGUGGAAUUCCCAGUGUAGAGGUGAAAUUCGUAGAUAUUCGGAAGAACACCAGUGGCGAAGGCGACAUACUGGUCCGUUACUGACGCUGAGGCUCGAAAGCGUGGGGAGCAAACAGG